rnacentral:rRNA from 1 species
CCUACGGGGUGCAGCGGUGGGGAAUCUUCCGCACUGGGCGAAGGCCUGACGGAGCAACGCCGCGUGAUCGAAUGAAGGCCUUCGGGUGGUCAAGAUCUGUUGACAGGGACGAAUAAGCAAUGCGAAUAGUUUUGUGUAUGACGGUACUUGUUUAGAAACCUCCGGCUAACUACGUGCCAGCAGCCGCGGGAGUACGUAGGGAGCAAGCGUUGUCCGGAAUUACUGGGCGUAAAGGGCGCGUAGGUGGGCGCUUAAGUCAGGUGUGAAAACUCCGGGCUCAACCUGGAGACGGAAGUUGAAACGGGGUGUCUUGAGGGCAGGAGAGGAAAGUGGAAUUCCUAGUGUAGCGGUGAAAUGCGUAGAUAUUAGGAGGAACACCAGUGGCGAAGGCGACUUUCUGGACUGUACCUGACGCUGAGGCGCGAAAGCGUGGGUAGCGAACGUGAUUAGAUACCCCGGUAGUC